rnacentral:rRNA from 1 species
AGAGUGAACGCUGGCGGCAGGCCUAAUACAUGCAAGUCGAACGGCAGCACGGCAGAGCUUGCUCUGUGGGUGGCGAGUGGCGGACGGGUGAGGAAUACAUGGGAAUCUGCCCAGUCGUGGGGGAUAACGAAUGGAAACGUACGCUAAUACCGCAUGCGCCCGUUCGGGGGAAAGCCGGGGACCUUCGGGCCUGGCGCGAUUGGAUGAGCCCAUGUCGGAUUAGCUAGUUGGCGGGGUAACGCCCACAAGGCGACGAUCCGUAGCUGGUCUGAGAGGAUGAUCAGCCACACUGGAACU